GUGCUUGCUCUACAGCACAUAAACUAAAAGUUAGAAUGAUACAGAGGAAAAUCAGCAUGGCCCCUGCUCAAAGAUGGCAUGCAAAUUUGUGAAGCAUUCUGUAUUUUU
rnacentral:snRNA from 1 species